rnacentral:rRNA from 1 species
UACGUAGGGAGCAAGCGUUGUCCGGAAUCAUUGGGCGUAAAGCGCGCGUAGGCGGCCUCAUAAGUCCGUUGUGAAAGCCAAAGGCUCAACCUUUGAAAGCCGAUGGAUACUGUGAGGCUAGAGUACGGAAGAGGCGAGUGGAAUUCCUGGUGUAGCGGUGGAAUGCGCAGAUAUCAGGAGGAACACCAAUAGCGAAGGCAGCUCGCUGGGACGUUACUGACGCUGAGACGCGAAAGCGUGGGGAGCAAACAGG